CGACAGCAGACUCUGCUGCUUUCCUGCGUCGGCUGCCGGGCUUCACCCUCUCAGCCGCAGACCAGACACUGAUGCUAACUCCUCCUGACAAACACUUAAGCACACUUCAAACACACCUAUGAUAAUUUGAAACAUGCUGGAAGACUGAAGGUGUCCACGUGCGUUUUUGAAGGCCUUGGAUUUGGAGGUUGUUAUUUUACCAUCAGCAGACAGUUUGAUGGGGUCACAUGAGAUAUUUACACAGUGUGAAGUUCAGCCAAAGUUGGCAAAAGAUCCCUGUGCAUCAUCGUUUGGGAGCGAUCUGAAAUGUCAAAGGUGUCCUUUUGAUGUCGGGUAUGGGCCUCAUGCAAGGCAGCACCUGUGUGGGACGCCGUCUGUGUGUGUGUGUGUGUCAUAUUCACAUCCAAACUGUCAAGCUGCUCCUCUGGGAACAAGGGAUAGUGAAGAGUCAAAAACAAACCGGGGUUGCGCUAUCACCUGCUUUCUCUCUCUGCCUCUCAUUUAUUCUACAACAAGCACACAGUGCCUGUGGAGGGUUCUAUAAAAAGGUGAACGUAAGAGUGUGUGUUUGGAUGAACGGGGAGAAGAAAGCAGUGCACUGGAGUGUGUGCUUCUUCCUGUCUCUUGAGGAAGGACGUCAGCUAAGGAAGUGAGACAUUUUCCAUUUGACAUUUUUAUUUUUUGCUUAAAAUGUACAUUUUUAAUAAAACAAAACAAAACGAAACCAAAAAAGCUCACAAAAUAAAAGAAUAAGAGAAAUAGAGAAUUGCCUUACCUCACUGCUCAGUGAUUUCUACAAAGAUCAAACUCCGCGCAACAAAUCCAUCAUUUUUUAACUUUAAACUUUGACUUCUGGCCAAAAUACAAGUGCAUAAUCUAUAACAACAGUAAAAUAAUAAGCGGAAAAAGUCUAGAUCCUGUUGUGCUCUAACAUCAAAUACAUUUACAUUUCUCUUUAGAAAUAUUCUGGGCUGCUUUCACUUGUAAACGGUGCUUGAUUUGUGCCUAUUUCUCUCCUGAUUCAUUCAAGAUGAUUAGAUUAAAAGAUGGUUUGUAUUUUAGAAGAAAAAAAAGCCUUAAUGAUGUAUUUUUUUAUGUACAUCCUAUGUAUAUCUUCACAAGACGUUAACUGACGAUUUGUAGGUUAUUACAAUUGAUGGCAAAAUUAACAUAAUAUAAAUAAGAAAAGUUAUAACAAUUAUAAUCCACACAAAUUGAAAAUCUUGCAUAUGUAAGUAUAUGUUUUAUUGUGACUGCAAUCUAACUUUAAAAAACUGGAAAUGUUAAUUGCAUGUAAAUGUACUGACUGAAAGAGAGAUGGCAGUGGGACACACUGGUUUAUAUUUUACUAAUUGAUAGCUUCAGGAUUAAUUAACUGUGAGUAAAUGACUGGCUCCUAACAAAUGUUUAUGUCUUGGGAAAAAUCGAACGAGAGACAGAUGAAAUGAGUGGAAUCCACUAUAUGAAGCACUCUCUCUCUCUUUAUAAGAAAAAUCGGUUUGCUGGUGGCACUUUGCUGACAUCUUUGUUAAUAGAUCCCUAUAGAUGAGAGGGAUUGUUCUCUGUGAUUUACUCUGAGACGGCAUCAGUCAGUAAUGGGAAUAUGGAUAAUUACUUUUCAUUUAUCCUCCUUGUUUCAACAUGUAAACCCUCCUGAUGAUUAAAUGGCGUGUAGAUCUUCAGCGCACUGCAUACUUGCUUUGAUUGGCCCAUUUUUCCUUUUUGUACCUGUGUCUUAAAAGCACUGGUGUCUAACCAACACCCCUCCCUCUUGUUGUUUCCUUUGAUUAUUUCUUGUGUUUACACGUUAGUCAUUUGUUUUAUUGAAAGUAGUGCCAGAAUGAUUUGGACUCACACAAAUGCGCUCGAUCACUUUGCUUGUUGUUUUCCUAAACAUCUCUUGGCAAAAUGCAUUUGAAUGGGUGAAUUCAGCCUGUGUGCGCUUGCUACAUAUUGAUAUGAUGGAGUGCUGUUAGAUUAGGAUGGAUGACCCAAGGUGAGGGGUGAAAGAGAGGGGCUGUUUGAACCUUUGUCUCUUUAUAGUAGUCAGAGCUGAAGGUCAGAAUAGCUUUGCUCUGAGAGACAUGGAAGACCGCUGUGUGUUAGAGUGCAGGAGCAAUAAACAGAAACUGAUACUGUAUUUGGUUAACCUCACUCAACUCAGACAGGUCAACAGGUCAUUUGCUUUAAUUACAUCUAAGAAAUGCAUCUGAUUUGUUUUUUAGUCAUGUUAAUGCUGUUAUAAUAGAGUUUCUCUGUGUGGAUAUCUGUGUCGCCCUGUCUUCAUCAGUUAUGAACUAUUUCUGAUUACAGAAGAAUUAUUAAACAAAACAGAGACACUGAAAGAUUUUGCAAGUGAUUUGUGACUACAUAAAUUAUUAAA